rnacentral:misc_RNA from 1 species
ACACGAUCAACUCUAGUUAAGAGUUGGAAUUGACCUCAUAUGCUCACAGCGUAUCUGGUUUGAAUGUAUCAAGUUGAUGAGCUUCCCAACGUUGCUCGAUGUGUGCUAGCGAGACAGUCGUCCCGAUCUCACAUUACAGCUCCGCUGCAAGGUUCUAUAUACAACUUUUUAUUAUUUUAUCAA